AAAUCAAAAAAAAAUUAUCCAUAGUCUGUCUGGUAUUUGCACAAUGGUAAUUCAGUUUCUGUGUUUCUUAUGGAUUCCUUGCAGUUAUAUAUUUAUGAAGUUGUCCCUUGAUGUUAUUUAGGUUAUGCAAUCGGUUUAGAUGUCUCAUCAGUUAGCUGCAUUUUAAAAAUAUUUUUGUUUGGUUGAAGUCCUUGUUGACAUAUAUUUAUCGAUUUAGGUUUCCAAUGAAGUGCUAGAAUCUGGUGAAGAGACAUACUUCCCUGCACUUCAUGUUAGUUUGGAUAAUCCUUCUGCAGUAGCUGUCUUUUGGGUUUCCAAGUCUGAGAAGUUGAAGGUAUUUUAAAAUGGUUUUUGGUUCAAGCUUCCUACCCAUGACCGACCGUGAACUUGUUAAAACAAUAGAUUUACACCCACAACCGAACCACAGCACAUGCAAAACUGUCCGUAGCUCGUCGGGUGGGUUCGGAUUAUACGGUUUGCCGGGUCUCCAGGUUAAAGAAGAACAAGUGCAACUUCAAAUGCAAUGGUAAAACCUUAGAAUGGCAGUGCUGCUCCAAAGUCACGCAUUCCUCAAAUGGUUGCUCAAACACUGGGUUUUGGCCAAAACCUGCUGCUGCUGGUGAUAGUAAUUGCACCCCCCAAC